rnacentral:rRNA from 1 species
UGUAAGCGUAUACCAAAGUUGUUGCAGUUAAAACGCUCGUAGUCGGAAUUUGGCAGUUCCGGAUGUGUGCACGUCGUGUGCGCACUUCGCGGGGAUUGCUUUUGUGGUCUUGCGUAGGAUGAGGCACUUUUAUUAGUGAACGUCCUCACGCAACCACUUUUUACUGUGAGAAAAUCAGAGUGCUCAAAGCAGGCAUUUGCCGUGAAUGUAUAGCAUGGAAUAAUAGAAUAGGACUUGGUUCUAUUUUGUUGGUUUGUUGGGACUGAGUAAUGAUUAAGAGGGACAGUUGGGGGCAUUUGUAUUUCGGUGCUAGAGGUGAAAUUCUUAGAUUACCGAAAGACAAACUGCUGCGAAAGCGUCCGCCAAGGAUGUUUUCAUUGA